AGGGCCCCCACCCACCGCUCAGGGGGGAGGACAUUAGGUCCCCCCCAAUUAGUUUUUAGGGCCCCCACCCACCGCUCAGGGGUGGGAGACAGGGGGGGAAGACAUUAGGUACCCCCUCAUUCUAAUUUAGGGCCCCCAUCCACCGCUCAGGGGCGGGGGCCGGGGGAGGACAAUAGGUUCCCCCCCCCUUAUUCUAAUUUAGGGCCCCCACCGCCACAGGCAGCUC